rnacentral:rRNA from 1 species
CAAGAGCGUAUAUUAAAGUUGUUGCAGUUAAAAAGCUCGUAGUUGGAUUUCUGGUACAACGCGCCUGGCCCGCUUACGUGAGUGCCGGUGCGCGUUUGCCAUCCUUCUAGAAAACGUCUCUACUCGGGCAACUGAGCCGGAUUCGCGAUCUAGAUCUUUACUUGAAAAAAUUAGAGUGUUUAAAGCAGGCUAUUGCCUUGAAUACAUUAGCAUGGAAUAAUGAGAUAGGACCUCGGUUCUAUUUUGUUGGUUUCUAGAGCUGAGGUAAUGAUUAAUAGGGAUAGUUGGGGGCAUUCGUAUUUAACUGUCAGAGGUGAAAUUCUUGGAUUUACGAAAGAUAAACUUCUGCGAAAGCAUUCGGCAAGGAUGUUUUCAUUGAUCAAGAACGAAAGUUAGGGGAUCGAAGACGAUCAGAU